rnacentral:lncRNA from 1 species
UUCUAUUAAGGCCUUCAACUGAUUGAAUGAGGCCACAUUAUGAAGGGUAAUUUGCUUUACUCAGUCUACUGAUUUAAAUGUUUAUCUCAUCUAAAAAAUAUUUUUACAGGAGCUGGGAUGUAUCUAAGUAAUAGAGUACAUGCUUAGCAUGCACAAAGUCCUGGGUUAAAUCCCCAGCACCCCCCCCAAAAAAAAAAAUGUUCACAGAAACAUUUUGAAUAACAUUUGACCAAAUAUCUAUGUAUUGUGGUCUAGCCAAGUUGACAUAUAAAACUGAUCAUCACAGCAAGUUUCUGUUCUAUUUGCUUCUAGUUAGAUUCAUGUGACACACAAAGUUCUUUCCUAGAUUCUCAAGCUGAUGUACUUAUGUGCACCAUUAUCCCCUUGCCUUACUCUCAACGCAAUGGUGGCCACAUUGAAGCCAUGUGAAAUAAUAAGUAAGAAGGCCACACUCUUAACCUGAUAUUUGCCUUAGAUGUGAUCAUAUCUUUCAGCUCAUGUUUUUCAAAGCCUUUUCAAUCUUACCUUGUACUACUGUUGUCUAGAGGCAGUAACUUUUCCAAUCCUGAAAGGCCCAUGAUCUCCAAACUUUCUCUAUUCUCCUUACCUAUGCUUGAAAACCAGCUAAUUAUCACCUAAGCUCACCUCCUUUUUUAUACUACUUUAUGAAGACAUCUGUACUACUUAUUACAUGUUUGUCUCCAUAUCCACUUUUCUGCUCUCCUGUAUGAGAUACUGGAGCUGGGACUCUGCAAAUCACAUUUGGGCUGUCAGCCAAAUGUGACUUCAUUUGGCUAUGCCAAUAAAGGCCACUAGAGGGAGAUACCCCAGAGGAAGAAGAAGGGGCUUGCUCUUUAAAUUUGCUUCUUGUUCCUCUGAAGACCACUCUGGUGACACUCCUUCACCCUGGUGGCAGCAGGCCCUUCCUGUAUUAGCAAGUGAGUCCACCUUUGAAGUUUUUUUUUCCCCUAGCAAUUGUAGAACCAGCUCCAUGGCACCCCACUCAGAAACACCAGCAUGAACUAGAUAGUGUCAGGUUCUUCCAAGCUGAGAUCCUAGAUGUCGGUCCUAGACUUUGAAGUUUGAGUGUCAGCUCUGUAGAGCCCUCCUAAGUUUCGCAGUAUUAGUAAUUUCAUAACCUUCCCUUUGUUCUCCUAGCCCUAGGAGUUACAGAUGCUUCCUGCUGUCUGUUACUGCCCCCAUGAUAUUAAAAGGGUUUGUGUUUUAUUUAUUUAUUUACAAUUAAUCACUUUAUACUUAGUGAAUCAUUCUUUCCCUACUCCCACUGCUCCCAACCCUUGGUACUGGGUAUUUAACCCAGGGACCCUCUACCACUGAGCCACCUCCCCAACCCCUUUUAUUUUGAGACAGAUCUUGCUAAAUUACUGAGGCUGGCCCCAACUUGCAAUCAUCCUGCUUCAGCCCCCUGAGUGGCUAGGAUUACAGAUUUGGGUCACUGCACCCAGCAGAGUUAACCAUUCUUUACAUUAAAUUUUUAAAAUAUCUAUUUUUAGAACUUUAUUUAUUUACUUUUUAUGUGGUGCUGAGGAUUGAAACCAGGGCCUCACCUGUGCUAGGCAAGUGCUCUCCUACUGAGCUACAGCCCCAGCCCCCUAGAUUAUUUUUGUCAAUAAUUGGUAUGAUUUCUGUGGCAUUGACUAGACUUUGAUUGAUACAGAAAUUAGUACUAGGAUUGGCCCCAGGAAAUAAAUCCCAAAAGAUGAGAUUAGAAAACUGGCUUGGUUGGGUCAUCAGAUUUGAAUGUGCUAAGCUCCUUGUCAAUGAAAAAAUGUGAUUCUAUCAAUUCAUGGCAUGCCAUGGCAUUGUAAUUAAUCAAAUUAACACCUGUGGUUAUUUGUAAUGAAGUGCCAACUAAACCAAGUGCCUUGGGGACCCAUGUAGUUGUACUUGACAAUUAUGACAGUGAUCAUGACUAUAAGGACUAUGGUGUGGGACAGAUUCUUCUGACUACAUCAGGGUUCUUGCAAAAAGAAAAUGACAAACUUAGGUCUUGAAACUUUCAGCUCAAGUCACGAUCAGAGAACUGUAGGGAUUCCAAGUGUUAGGAGUUCAGGGAUACCAAGAUGGCAGAGGCAGGGUACAAGAAAAAUGCUGAUGAAGGAUAAGACAAGGAGAUGAGUCAUCAAGUCCCUGUUACAGUAAGUCCCAUUAACAUGACAACUCCUGCCACUGAGGACUUAUCACCUGUGAUAACUCCCACAACAAUUUUGGUAUUCUAAAAUAACCAAUAGGGGGCUGGGGAUGUGGCUCAAGCGGUAGCGCGCUCGCCUGGCAUGCGUGUGGCCCGGGUUCGAUCCUCAGCACCACAUACAAAGAUGUUGUGUCCGCAGAGAACUAAAAUAAAAUAAAUAUUAAAAUUCUCUCUCUCUCUCUCUCUCAUUUCUCUCUUAAAAUAAAUAAAUAAAUAAAAUAACCAAUAGGGGAAAAUUGGACAGUAUUCUAAUUAGGUACCAUAAAGUGACCAAUGGGAGCAAAUGGGGUGAGG